AUUGAACGCUGGCGGCAUGCCUUACACAUGCAAGUCGAACGGUAACAGGUCUUAGGAUGCUGACGAGUUGCGAACGGGCGAAUAAUACAUCGGAACGUGCCCGAUCGUGGGGGAUAACGAAGCGAAAGCUUUGCUAAUACCGCAUAAGAUCUACGGAUGAAAGCAGGGGACCGCAAGGCCUUGCGCGAACGGAGCGGCCGAUGGCAGAUUAGGUAGUUGGUGGGAUAAAAGCUUACCAAGCCGACGAUCUGUAGCUGGUCUGAGAGGACGACCAGCCACACUGGGACUGAGACACGGCCCAGACUCCUACGGGAGGCAGCAGUGGGGAAUUUUGGACAAUGGGCGAAAGCCUGAUCCAGCCAUGCCGCGUGCAGGAUGAAGGCCUUCGGGUUGUAAACUGCUUUUGUACGGAACGAAAAGACUCUGGUUAAUACCUGGGGUCCAUGACGGUACCGUAAGAAUAAGCACCGGCUAACUCCGUG
rnacentral:rRNA from 1 species